CCAGUUGCUGUCCCACUACCUGAAGGAGAUUAAUACCAAUGGGACUAAUUCCCCUAUACAAGGAGAACCUGCAUGAUGUGAAGAGCAAAUGAAGUUGUAUGUCCACAGAACUUGCAGAAGUCUCAAGAAAACUCCUUCUGAACUCACUGUGUGUUGGAACCCAGCUCCUAGCAUCUCGCUUUACAUCACCGCAGUGCCAUCAUCACCUAUUCUCUGAGACAUGGAUUUUCACUCUGUCCAUGCUGGUUAAUACCAGCAAAUCAUUCCAGGCAGGAGCCAGGAACCUUCUACCAGAGCAUUGCCACCAGGAUGAGUCUGCAGGGACCGCCCAGAGACACCUGGAAAAUCAAGUGCCAGAAAUCAGUGGUGCAGGGAGCCAGCACCUCUGUUAAUAGAUCGGUUUAUACCUGCAAGAAGUUGUCCCACCAAACCAAAAAAACCGUCAUCCUACUCAUGCACUUUUCCCCAAAACACCACAAAAGUGACUUUUGGCCUUUAAAUCUGAUCUAUCUCCAUUUGAGAUGCCACUGAGACUGUAGGCGUGACUAGAAGAUUAUUACCAGGUAUAAAUUUAAUUCAGUAAAAGUUAUUUGGAAAAAUCAAUGUUUGAUAGGCAACUGAAAAAAAUUACACUGCAGUUAUCAGAGUCCUCUGCACAUUCUUCCCAGCAGGCAUUCUGUCUGUUUCACUUGUGGGGAACUACUCUUGGUCAAAAUGCUGCAGAAGUUUUAAAAUUUAAAAAAAAAAAAAAAAAAAAAAGAUGGUCUUUGUCAUGUAACUUUCAGCAGUGUUUAUUUUGCGUGAGCAAAAUUGUCUUCUGUCUUAAGACGUUUAAUCAUUAUUUGAAAGCCACUUGAUGAAUAGAAGAGCGUGUACUCCCACACGGGACAAACGUAUUUUUAGACUGAUUCAUAAUAAUUUAUUUCUGUCAAAGUGGAAUGCAUUAAUUUCUCCUACUGGUAAGGGCUUUACUGCUGCUUCUUUUCCUAAGGUAGUUGGUUCUCUUCUGGGUGCAUAUUAGCUGAUCUAAGUGGACGCAACCAGGUACUCAGUUAUGUCACGGUUAUCUCAACGAUCUCUUAAGGAACACUGAGUACUUAUUUCUGUGGAUACGGUGCGCUCUGUGUUUCAUCACAGACCUUUGCUGCUUCGUUAUUUAUGGAAUUCAGAUUACUGAAUAGCAAUUUAAAGGUCUCUCCGUCCUUGCUAGGUGCUCAGUGACACAAAAUAAACCCACGUAUUAAGGAGGGAAAAAAAAAGAA
rnacentral:lncRNA from 1 species